rnacentral:tRNA from 1 species
GGGCUGGGGCUCAGUGGCAGGGCGCUCCCCUAACAUGUGCGGGGCCCUGGGUUUGAUCCUCAGCACCACA